rnacentral:rRNA from 1 species
AGCGAACGCUGGCGGCAGGCUUAACACAUGCAAGUCGAGCGGGCAUAGCAAUAUGUCAGCGGCAGACGGGUGAGUAACGCGUGGGAACGUACCUUUUGGUUCGGAACAACACAGGGAAACUUGUGCUAAUACCGGAUAAGCCCUUACGGGGAAAGAUUUAUCGCCGAAAGAUCGGCCCGCGUCUGAUUAGCUAGUUGGUGAGGUAAUGGCUCACCAAGGCGACGAUCAGUAGCUGGUCUGAGAGGAUGAUCAGCCACAUUGGGACUGAGACACGGCCCAAACUCCUACGGGAGGCAGCAGUGGGGAAUAUUGGACAAUGGUCGCAAGCCUGAUCCAGCCAUGCCGCGUGAGUGAUGAAGGCCCUAGGGUUGUAAAGCUCUUUUGUGCGGGAAGAUAAUGACGGUACCGCAAGAAUAAGCCCCGGCUAACUUCGCGCCAGCCGCCGCAGUAA